rnacentral:rRNA from 1 species
AGAGUUUGAUCAUGGCUCAGGAUGAACGCUAGCUACAGGCUUAACACAUGCAAGUCGAGGGGCAGCAUGUUGGUUGCUUGCAACCAAUGAUGGCGACCGGCGCACGGGUGAGUAACGCGUAUCCAACCUACCCUUGUCCAUCGGAUAACCCGUCGAAAGGCGGCCUAACACGAUAUGCGGUUCUCAGCAGGCAUCUAACGAGAACGAAAUGUGAAGGAGAAGGAUGGGGAUGCGUCUGAUUAGCUUGUUGGCGGGGUAACGGCCACCGAAGGCGACGAUCAGUAGGGGUUCUGAGAGGAAGGUCCCCCACAUUGGAACUGAGACACGGUCCAAACUCCGUACGGAGGCA